UACGAAGGGAGCUAGCGUUGUUCGGAAUCACUGGGCGUAAAGCGCACGUAGGCGGAUGUGUCAGUCAGGGGUGAAAUCCCGGGGCUCAACCUCGGAACUGCCUUUGAUACUGCGAGUCUUGAGUCCGAUAGAGGUGGGUGGAAUUCCUAGUGUAGAGGUGAAAUUCGUAGAUAUUAGGAAGAACACCAGUGGCGAAGGCGGCCCACUGGAUCGGUACUGACGCUGAGGUGCGAAAGCGUGGGGAGCAAACAGG
rnacentral:rRNA from 1 species